rnacentral:lncRNA from 1 species
CGGCUCUCCAGUGAGAUUUGAAAUUCCAUGAGGGCGGAGGCUCUGUCUAGUGUACCUCCCUUAAAUUCUGGACUACACCAGACACAAGGCAGGGAACAGAGUGGCUACUUCAUUUCUUGUUGGUGGAUUUCUUGCUACUAAGAAACAUGUGCAGACUGUUUUGUAAGGAGGACAGAUGAGAAGGGCUGCCUCCACCAGAUGCUUUCCAAAUGCUUGCAACUUGUGUUGGUUUCCUUGGAGGCAGUUCUCAGAUAUCUUAGGAGAGACUGGCCCUGAUUUCUCUCUCCCCCCUCCUCCCCUCCUCAUUCUCUCUGACAAUGAGGUAAUCAGUUAGGGCUUCUUAGCAGCUGCUGGAUGUAGGUGGCACUUUCAUGUGUCAAGGGCUGUUCAGCAAUAGCAAGUUCAAGAAGGCAGAGAAACAGAGAGCUAUUUUAGUGGCAGACGACCACUUCAGAAAGCUUAUCUCAUGGAGAAACUUCCUUUCAUUCUCUUCCCACACGGAAAUGGCCAUUAUAGUAAUAAGUCUAAUCAGAAACACCAUACAGCUGCUUUCCACACCAGGGCAGUAGGAGAAUUACAUGCAAAUCUUGAACACUGAAGAAGAGGGCCGAAGGUGGAGCUAACCUGGUGAGUGCCUUACUUACAGAUCCCUGGGGGUGGGGUGUGUUUUGGAAUCUUCUUUUCCAGGACAAUGGCUAAUAUGGUGCCUAAUGGGAUGCCUGUUACAGAGGAGUUGCUCAAUAAAUACUCCCUGAGGGGAGCAGAUCAGCUAUCCCAAACCAGGAAAGACGAGUUAUUGGAUUUAAGUAGCUCUCAGAUGCCGCUGGACCCCAUCACCCAAACCCUGAUAUAGGGGAUUGCUCCUUAAACUGCAAUGCCCUCGACUUCCCUGCCUUCUCUUCUUUUUGAAUUCCAUUUGGUCAAGUGUCACCUGCUCUCUGAAGCUUUCACUGGUUUCCCCAGAUAGAAUUAAUUCCAUCUUGCUCUUUUGUUUUCUUUUAAAAACCGUUUGACCCCAGGACUCUCCUAUAGCGAUAACCAUGCACCAGGCACUCUGAACUGCAGCUCUGAUUUGGCUUUGGGCAGACCUGGUCUCAAGUCCUAACAUCAAGAAUUACCAGCUAUAGAUUCACAAGCCACUUCUCCAAAUCUUGACUUCUUGAGUAUAGUGAGGAUAAUAACACUUAACUCAUAAGGUUAACAGAAGGAUUUGAACAUCAUCCCUGUAGACAUGUAUUUCCAUCACACCCAAACCAUCAAAAUCAGAAAUUUGGUUUCUGUUUACUUCUGUAGCACCUACUUCAGUACUAGGCAUUUAAGAGAGUCUCAAUAGUUUUUGUAUUUGUGUGUGUGAAAAAUAUAAAUGGAUGGAUGUGGUGGUAAUAAUUGUUAUGUAAUAAUUAAAU